rnacentral:rRNA from 1 species
GAGGAUGCGAGCGUUAUCCGGAUUUAUUGGGUUUAAAGGGUGCGUAGGCGGGCUGUUAAGUCAGCGGUAAAAGCCCGGGGCUCAACCCCGGCGAGCCGUUGAAACUGGCGGUCUUGAGUUGGCGAGAGGUAUGCGGAAUGCGCAGUGUAGCGGUGAAAUGCAUAGAUAUUGCGCAGAACUCCGAUUGCGAAGGCAGCGUACUGGCGCCAUACUGACGCUGAGGCACGAAAGCGUGGGUAUCGAA